AGUGCCGAGGAACAGGUCACGCUGGAAGUGCGGAGAGAGAAACCGCCCCGCAAACCUCCCCAGACAUCUGAUGCUACAACCCAGACUGAGGCCAGCUGGUGGGAUAAGCCGUGCCCAAACAGGGGGCACUGCAUCCCCUCGUGCUUCAAUUUCUACCUGGACAGCUCCUAUCGCAGUUACUUGCUGCCCCAGGACUGCAAUGAUGACAGCAAAUCUGACUGCCUGCUACCCACCUCCCGCCACGUGGAGAAAGAAGAGCCGGAUUAUGAGGCACUAGCCCUCAUUCACCAAAAGGAGCCGAGUUUCAGCAGCUGUUACACCAUCCC